CUCAUAAUCCGUGACAAUAAGGUAUGUGUUUAAUCAGUAAGUAGCACAAAUUGAAAGCUUGCUUAUGUGAAUUAAGAGUCUAGCUUACUACUAAAGCAUGAUUGGUUUAAACCAAAGAGUGUAUUAUUGGUUAUAUAGAUUUUAUAUAAUUACAGAUUUUGUAUAUAUAUAAACAUCUAAAAUAAUUUUAAUUACUAAAUAAAAUAAAAAAUGCAAGACAAAAAAAUGAAGAGGGCAUCAUAAAAUUGAUUAGAAAUAUAUAAGGGUCUUUUGGUAAUCAUUCAAAUUUUAUUCUCAUUACAUAGAAACAUAAACACUAUCAAUGAGUUUCUGAUUGCGAUUUAACACAAUUUCAUUACACGGUGGUAAACACAAUGAAAGGUAAUUUUAUUAUAAUUGUAACCCAUUUCAUUUAUAAUGUAAUCUAAUUACGAUUGCACCCUAAGUUACGAGUGGGUAGGUAAACAAGCUCUUAAUUAGAUUUGAGUUAAAUUUGAUAAACAAUCAAGAUAAAAGUAUAUAAUUUAAAUUUUGCAUUAAAAAAUUUAAAGACCCUAGAAAGAUGUUUUUUUCAAGGUCUUCAAGUUAGAGAGGGAAAAUUGUUAGGUGGAGAAAUUGAAUGGAAACACAAGUAGAAUUGAAAAUGAAAAUGACCUAUUUGAAAAAUUGGGUUAAAAAUUGAGUGGACUGAAAAUGACCUAUAUGACCUAUUUGCCAUGUCCCGCCAUUGUCAAUUUCAUUCCAUCUAUUCAAUUUUUGAAACGGUCUUCAAGACUUAUUAAGGGUUGACUUAAUUGGUAGAAAAACCUAACUGAAGUGUUAAAGUUGGUAUCCUCUUGAUCUAUCUUUAUGGAUGAGUGGGGUUCUUCGAGAUCAUUUAGAUGCAGAUUUGAAGUUUGUUUCCAAAUUUCAGAAGGUGUAAGUUCAUGAAGCUAUGACAAUAUAUUUUGGGCUCGAGAUUUUAUCAUCAAUCCAUGUUUUGAAGUCUCUUUCUUUAUUGAGGAGUUGGAUUUUUAGGCCGUUGUUGAAACUUUAAUAUUGAAGAAGAGUUGGAGAUAUACUUAUUUCAAGUUUGUGGAUGAGGCUAAUUACAAGGUUCAAGUAGCAAUUCGGAGGAGCAUAAAAAUACUUAAAAGGAAUCUGCACUCGCAAAUGAGUUAGACCAUCAUGUAAUGAGAAUGAGAUGCAGCUCAUGCUUGGAGUAAUUGAAGCCUUAGGAGUUAAUCCUUGAAUUCGGGAGGUGGCAGGAAGAUUAAAAGGAAGAGAAACUUCGAAAGCUUGGUUUAUACAAGUAAAUUUAGUGAAAUCGGUGCCAUUUGAAAUCUUGAAGAAUCUAGUUUUCGAGGUUGUCUUACCAGAGAAAGAUUGCAGAAGAAGAAGAACAAAAAGUGAGGAAUUUGCAGAAGAGGCAGAAUCGCGGAUUUAUCAGGACCCGAGGUAAAUAUUGGAAGCUCCAGGCCAAACUAUAAGGAAACUUUGGCUGAAAUUUUAAGAAAAGAAAGUUAACUCAGUUUUAAACAUGUUUGUAGAAGGAAUUUUCUACAAAAGAGGGUUGGAUUUUGAGUUAUGAAUUUUUGAAGUUGUAACAGAGAAGCUGUGCAUAAGCAGAUAGCUGCUUGGGAAGCAAACAGCUCAUAUGGAGAAUGAAGAUCUUGCUAAUGAAGGAAAUCUCGCUAAUUUUGUGAUGAGGAUCUCGCUCUAGAAGGAAAUCUCACUAGAAAUUGGGCUGAAUCUCACUGGAAAGGUGAGUAUCGCUAGGAUUAAAGGAUCUCGCUCAUGAGGAGGAUCUCACUCAUAAGGAUUGUUCGUUGCUAUUGUGAUUCGCUCUAGGAUUGUUUUGUAUAAAAUAAAUUAGAAGAAUAAGUUCUAAGUAUAAGUGAUGCGUUUAUGCUUUGAUGCGUUUAAGUAAUUGUAACGCAUUGGGGCAUCAGAUAUAUGCAACAGAAUGCACACAACUCCUUUUAAUGACGUUCAAGUUUUCCUAAACCAGACCUAAGUAUAAAUCUAAUUUAGGUUCCUGGUAAGUCCAGGAUCGAACUCAGGGAUUCAUUUAACCAAACGCAGACCUUGCGUUGUAUCUACUGUAGGGGUUUUCCUAAAUAAAUGUGAGAAAUGUGUUAUUUACACUAAAUUGCUGUGCCUAUGCAAGAGAUGCAAAAGAGUUGAGUAGUUAGUGAUGGAUCAUGUGAGAAUGGAGUUUAAUGUAAG